rnacentral:lncRNA from 1 species
UUUUUUUAUGAAAUUAAGUCUAGUAAAUCAUGCUUUAUUGCCAAUGAUGUUUGUGAUAGUUGGUUGUGGCAUAGAAGGUUAGGACAUGUUAGUAUGCUCACAAUUUCAAAACUUUUUAAAAAAGACUUAGUCAUUGGACUUCCAAUUAGUAUGCUCACAAUUUCAAAACUUUUGAAAAAAGACUUAGUCAUUGGACUUCCAAACAUAUCAUUUGAAAAUGAUAAGGUUUGUGAUGCUUGCCAAUUGGGAAAAUAAUUUAGAAAUUCCUUUAAAUAUAACAAAGUCAUAUCAACUUCUAGGUCACUUGAGCUAGUACAUGUUGACUUGUUUGGACCAAUCACUAUUUGUCACGACCCGGUACUCCCCUCGAGCCCGUGACAACCGUCGCGACGUCUCGGUAGACAUUCGUUACCUAGAGUGCCAACCGGAAUCCCGCAAGGCUUUAAUACCAUUUUUUUUCAUCUCCCUUGUGAGUAAUCAUCGCCAAACCUCGUUUUUAAAGAAUUUUAAGCUUUUUCCCUCUCAAAACCGUGGAAAAAUAAUUUUUACCUCACAGGGGCAUUUUCGUUAUUUUUUCUCAAAAUUUUCUGAACCCUACUAAAACUGUAGUAGAUGAGUGGAAAACACAUAUUUCAUGAUUUAAAAUAAAUUUGGGUGUCUAAAACAUUUAUUAAAAAUGAUAUUGCAACUAUUUGAAUAAAAUAAAAAUAUUCAAUAAAAUAUUCUAAUUUCUUGUAAAAUAAUAUUUAUAAAGUCAUCGGUAAAUAAUUUUUGUAAUGUAAAAGCUAAAUAAAUUCAUACGUAGUAUAAUACAGAUAACCAAGAUAUGAAAUUUACUUUACAGUGACUCGUGGGCCCACAAGGAACAAAAGUGCACAAAGGUAGUAAACUUAUAGUUUUUGGAGUAGUAAAGCCGACUAUAAUCCUUGACGAUAUCUGUUAUCCACAAGCUACCUCGCGCCUGAAAUGGUUGAACAGGAGGGUGGUGAGAUUAUAAAAUCUCAGUGAGUAAACAGACACCAUCUAAACCAUCUAAAGUCGAGUAAAUUGAGACAGAUAAAACAGUUUAACAUACUGAAAUUCAUUACCUUUCAACUUGUUUCAACCAAAUAAAAUCAAUUCAUAUAAAUUGAGUCAUUAACAUGGCUUAUGAAUUUCUUAAAACUUUGGCUCGUGCCAAAAUCAUUAUCAUACUCAGUCAUCAAGGAUACCUUGGCCGAGGGCUAUCCCAAACUGAGUCCGUCAAGGCUGUUAAAAAGUUAUAUAUGCAUAAAUCAUGUUUUUAUUUUGAAAACAUAGUCGUUCCUUGACGUUGGUCGAGUUCACCCUAACGUGGUGGUUUAGCGUAAAGUGAACUCUAAAGUGUUUACCUCAGGAGUUAUCCAUCCGCGGCUCUCAUACUGAGGUAAGAAUAUAACGGGGUUAUCGUGCCCCUCUAAUAGGCUGGUCCACGAAACCCGCCCACUACAUAAGCUAAUCAAUAUCCCACCAUAUAAUAAAAAUUCAACAGCGUGACAUGGCAAUUUUAUCAUUAUCCAGCCUAUCAAGGCAAACAACAGUUUAUACAUUUCAACACAAAUACUAAUUCCGCCAUUCAUGCCAAUAUUGUCAUAAGCCAAUCAAUUAGAACCAUAAAUUCACAAUACAUCAAUAUGGCCUCCAAUUACUCUAUUUGAAAAGCCAUCAUUCAAUUUCAAUAUAAUUUUAUAAAAUCAUUUUAUUUAAUCACAUUUUUGCUUAUAAAACAUAAAGAUUUGCCAUUUAAACUCAUUUUUCAUAAAAUCACAAAAUUGGAUAAAAACUACUUUAGAUAAUUAAGACGAUAGUAAGAUUACUCAUAGUACUAGGAGUUCGAUAUACUCAUAUUCUCGAUCUUCGGGCACAAUCUCUUUACCCUUGUUAGAAGGCUCACCACCUAUACAUCAUACGUGACACGAAUUUCAAUAAAUUGUGUCAAUUUAUCAUAAACUAUUUCAGGCUCUAUAAAUCUAUAUGAAUGCACGAAAUGUGAUGCAAAAUGUCCGAAUAGCCGUUUAAAUACGGUAUUCGAUCUAAUUCGCACUAUUCUCGGUGUAAUUGGCUAAAACCUCCAAUUUAACUCCAAAUCAAUUUCUUUCACUUUCUACACUCCAAUUAUACUUAAAAUACCUCAAUGACUGUGAAUAUGAUUCAAUUUAUCAGUCCGAACCAUAAAUCGCACAUGUCUAUACAUUAGGUAAAAAUUNNNNNNNNNNNNNNNNNNNNNNNNNNNNNNNNNNNNNNNNNNNNNNNNNNNNNNNNNNNNNNNNNNNNNNNNNNNNNNNNNNNNNNNNNNNNNNNNNNNNNNNNNNNNNGCCAGCAUGGGUUCAUCAUGCAAACUUGAGUUCUAAGCAUGGAAAAUGAAAAAGAAAGCAUGGGUAGUGUAAAUCACAAGAUAAAAUCACAAAAUUUUACCUUUAUUAGCUUAAUCCCUUGAAAUCCCACACUUUUUCUUCAAUUUUCCCACUUAGGGUUUGUGUUCUUUCCUUUCCUCUUCACUUCAUGCUUUGGUCGACCAUAUGGGUGAGACUAAGAGAGUUU